rnacentral:rRNA from 1 species
GACGAACGCUGGCGGCGUGCUUAACACAUGCCAGUCGAACGGAAAGGCCCUGCUUUUGUGGGGUGCUCGAGUGGCGAACGGGUGAGUAACACGUGAGUAACCUGCCCUUGACUUUUGGAUAACUUCAGGAAACUGGGGCUAAUACCGGAUAGGAGCUCCUGCUGCAUGGUGGGGGUUGGAAAGUUUCGGCGGUUGGGGAUGGACUCGCGGCUUAUCAGCUUGUUGGUGGGGUAGUGGCUUACCAAGGCUUUGACGGGUAGCCGGCCUGAGAGGGUGACCGGCCACAUUGGGACUGAGAUACGGCCCAGACUCCUACGGGAGGCAGCAGUGGGGAAUAUUGCACAAUGGGCGGAAGCCUGAUGCAGCAACGCCGCGUGCGGGAUGACGGCCUUCGGGUUGUAAACCGCUUUCGCCUGUGACGAAGCGUGAGGGACGGUAAUGGGUAAAGAAGCACCGGCUAACUAAGU